rnacentral:rRNA from 1 species
AACGAACGCUGGCGGCGUGCUUAACACAUGCAAGUCGAACGGGAUUGGAAGCUUGCUUCCAUGAGAGUGGCGCACGGGUGAGUAACGCGUGGAUAACCUGCCCUGGUAUCUGGAAUAACAUCUCGAAAGGGGUGCUAAUACCGGAUAAGCUCACGACUCCUUCGGGAGCUGCGAGAAAAGGUGGCCUCUGAAUAUGCUACCGUAUCAGGAUGGGUCCGCGUACCAUUAGCUAGUUGGUGGGGUAAUGGCCUACCCAGGCUACGAUGGUUAGCUGGUCUGAGAGGAUGAUCAGCCACAGUGGAACUGAGACACGGUCCAGACUCCUACGGGAGGCAGCAGUGGGGAAUUUUGCGCAAUGGGGGAAACCCUGACGCAGCAACGCCGCGUGAGUGAUGAAGGCCUUCGGGUCGUAAAGCUCUGUCAGAGGGGAAGAAGUGUAGUGUGGUUAAUACCCACAUUACUUGACGGUACCCUCAAAGGAAGCACCGGCUAACUCCGUGCCAGCCGCCGCCGUAACAC